GACGAACGCUGGCGGCGUGCCUAAUACAUGCAAGUCGAGCGGACGAAUCGAAAGCUUGCUUUUGAUUCGUUAGCGGCGGACGGGUGAGUAACACGUGGGCAACCUGCCCUGUAGACGGGGAUAACACCGAGAAAUCGGUGCUAAUACCGGAUAACACGAAAUGUCGCAUGACGUUUCGUUGAAAGACGGCGCAAGCUGUCGCUACAGGAUGGGCCCGCGGCGCAUUAGCUAGUUGGUGAGGUAACGGCUCACCAAGGCGACGAUGCGUAGCCGACCUGAGAGGGUGAUCGGCCACACGGGGACUGAGACACGGCCCAGACUCCUACGGGAGGCAGCAGUAGGGAAUCUUCCGCAAAGGACGAAAGUCUGACGGAGCAACGCCGCGUGAGCGAAGAAGGCCUUCGGGUCGUAAAGCUCUGUUGUUAGGGAAGAACAAGUAGCGCAGUAACUGGCGUUACCGUGACGGUACCUAACGAGAAAGCCACGGCUAACUACGUG
rnacentral:rRNA from 1 species